UUUUAAAGAACUCUUCUAGUAGGCACAUUCAAAUUUUUUGCGCUAAUUUGCCCACCAAUUUAGUAGGGAAAAACUCAUACUAUCAAACAUUACGUAUUUCAUGUCGGGACCACAAAUUUUACGUAAUUCUUAGCUCUAAACUACUUUUC